rnacentral:hammerhead_ribozyme from 1 species
ACCAGCUGAUGAGUUUUAAAUAGGACGAAACGCGUUUCAUGGAU